rnacentral:rRNA from 1 species
AUUGAACGCUGGCGGCAUGCUUUACACAUGCAAGUCGAACGGUAACAGGUUAAGCUGACGAGUGGCGAACGGGUGAGUAAUGCAUCGGAACGUGCCCGGUCGUGGGGGAUAACACUUCGAAAGAAGUGCUAAUACCGCAUACGAUCUGAGGAUGAAAGCGGGGGACCGUAAGGCCUCGCGCGAUCGGAGCGGCCGAUGUCAGAUUAGGUAGUUGGUGGGGUAAAGGCCCACCAAGCCGAAGAUCUGUAGCUGGUCUGAGAGGACGACCAGCCACACGGGGACGGAGAAACGGCCCAGACGCCUACGGGAGGAGGAAGUGGGGAAUUUUGGACAAUGGGCGCAAGCCUGAUCCAGCAAUGCCGCGUGCAGGAAGAUGGCCUUCGGGUUGUAAACUGCUUUUGUACGGAGCGAAAAGGCUCUCUCUAAUACAGGGGGCUGAUGACGGUACCGUAAGAAUAAGCACCGGCUAACUACGUGCCAGCCGCCGCCGUAA